AGUGAACGCUGGCGGCAGGCCUAACACAUGCAAGUCGAACGGCAGCACAGUAAGAGCUUGCUCUUACGGGUGGCGAGUGGCGGACGGGUGAGGAAUACAUCGGAAUCUACUUUUUCGUGGGGGAUAACGUAGGGAAACUUACGCUAAUACCGCAUACGACCUACGGGUGAAAGCAGGGGAUCUUCGGACCUUGCGCGAUUGAAUGAGCCGAUGUCGGAUUAGCUAGUUGGCGGGGUAAAGGCCCACCAAGGCGACGAUCCGUAGCUGGUCUGAGAGGAUGAUCAGCCACACUGGAACUGAGACACGGUCCAGACUCCUACGGGAGGCAGCAGUGGGGAAUAUUGGACAAUGGGCGCAAGCCUGAUCCAGCCAUACCGCGUGGGUGAAGAAGGCCUUCGGGUUGUAAAGCCCUUUUGUUGGGAAAGAAAAGCAGCAGGUUAAUACCCCGCUGUUCUGACGGUACCCAAAGAAUAAGCACCGGCUAACUUCGU
rnacentral:rRNA from 1 species